rnacentral:tRNA from 1 species
ACCUGGCUGGCUCAGUCGGUAGAGCAAAUGACUCUUGAUCUUGGAGUUGUAAGUUCAAGCCCUACACUGGGUG